rnacentral:rRNA from 1 species
CAACAUGAGAGUUUGAUCCUGGCUCAGAACGAACGCUGGCGGCAGGCUUAACACAUGCAAGUCGAGCGCCCCGCAAGGGGAGCGGCAGACGGGUGAGUAACGCGUGGGAACGUACCCUUUACUACGGAAUAACGCAGGGAAACUUGUGCUAAUACCGUAUGUGCCCUUCGGGGGAAAGAUUUAUCGGUAAAGGAUCGGCCCGCGUUGGAUUAGCUAGUUGGUGGGGUAAAGGCCUACCAAGGCGACGAUC